CGAACGCUGGCGGCGCGUUUAAGCAUGCAAGUCGAGCGGCAAGGGCCUUCGGGCCCCUAGAGCGGCGGACGGGUGAGUAACACGUGGACAAUCUGCCCCCCGGCCCGGGAUAGCCCAGGGAAACCUGGAUUAAUACCGGAUGAGACGGGACCCGCGAUGGCGGGAUCCGGGAAAGGCGCUGCGGCGCCGCCGGGGGAUGAGUCUGCGUCCCAUUAGCUAGACGGCGGGGUAACGGCCCACCGUGGCGACGAUGGGUAGCCGGCCUGAGAGGGUGGACGGCCACAUUGGAACUGAGACACGGUCCAGACUCCUACGGGAGGCAGCAGCUAAGAAUCUUCCGCAAUGGGCGAAAGCCUGACGGAGCCGACGCCGCGUGAACGAAGAAGGCCGUGAGGUUGUAAAGUUCUUUUCGGGAGGGGGAACAACCGUGGCAGGGAAUGGCCGCGGGAUGACGUGAAUCCCGGAAUAAGCCCCGGCUAACUACGUGCCAGCCGCCGC
rnacentral:rRNA from 1 species